rnacentral:rRNA from 1 species
AUUGAACGCUGGCGGCAGGCCUAACACAUGCAAGUCGAACGAGUGGCGGACGAGAGAGUAAUGUCAGGGAAACUGCCCGAUGGAGGGGGAUAACGAAUGGAAAAGGUAGAUAAUAACGAAUACCAUCGGAUGUGCGCAGAUGGGAUUAGCUAGUAGGGGGGGUAACGGCGCACCUAGGCGACGAUCCCUAGCUGGUCUGAGAGGAUGACCAGCCACACUGGAACUGAGACACGGUCCAGACUCCUACGGGAGGCAGCAGUGGGGAAUAUUGCACAAUGGGCGCAAGCCUGAUGCAGCCAUGCCGCGUGUAUGAAGAAGGCCUUCGGGUUGUAAAGUACUUUCAGCGAGGAGGCGUUACUCGCAGAAGAAGCACCGGCUAACUCCGUGCCAGCCGCCGCGGUAAUAC